rnacentral:rRNA from 1 species
CGAACGAACUCUGGUAUUGAUUGGUGCUUGCAUCAUGAUUUACAUUUGACGCGUUUGGCGAACUGGUGAGUAACACGUGGGAAACCUGCCCACCAGAGGGGGAUAACACCUGGAAACAGAUGCUAAUACCGCAUAACAACUUGGACCGCAUGGUCCGAGUUUGAAAGAUGGCUUCGGCUAUCACUUUUGGAUGGUCCCGCGGCGUAUUAGCUAGAUGGUGAGGUAACGGCUCACCAUGGCAAUGAUACGUAGCCGACCUGAGAGGGUAAUCGGCCACAUUGGGACUGAGACACGGCCCAAACUCCUACGGGAGGCAGCAGUAGGGAAUCUUCCACAAUGGACGAAAGUCUGAUGGAGCAACGCCGCGUGAGUGAAGAAGGGUUUCGGCUCGUAAAACCCUGUUGUUAAAGAAGAACAUAUCUGAGAGUAACUGUCCAGGUAUUGACGGUAUUUAACCAGAAAGCCACGGCUAACUACGUGCCAGCAGCCGCGGUAAUACGUAGGUGGCAAGCGUUGUCCGGAUUUAUUGGGCGUAAAGCGAGCGCAGGCGGUUUUUUAAGUCUGAUGUGAAAGCCUUCGGCUCAACCGAAGAAGUGCAUCGGAAACUGGGAAACUUGAGUGCAGAAGAGGACAGUGGAACUCCAUGUGUAGCGGUGAAAUGCGUAGAUAUAUGGAAGAACACCAGUGGCGAAGGCGGCUGUCUGGUCUGUAACUGACGCUGAGGCUCGAAAGUAUGGGUAGCAAACAGGAUUAGAUACCCUGGUAGUCCAUACCGUAAACGAUGAAUGCUAAGUGUU